rnacentral:lncRNA from 1 species
UGUCAAGAAUGGAUUGAACAUCAGGGCAUUUACCUUUUUUAUUGGCAAAGUAUCAAGUGUUUUAUAGGGCAAAUGCUGCCAUCCGCCCAGCUGUGCUCAGCGGUCACUGCCAGCAAGGAUGUUUCAGCUGGGACUCACACUGGGUCACUUCCCGUGGAACUUCAGUUAUUGCUGGCCGUCAUCGGCACAGGGAUGGCUUCAGGAGUAGCGCUACUGCCCACAGUACUGACUUGCCCAACGUCGUGACCCAAGGGUGCAGGGCCCUACAGAAGAGACGGGCAACAAGGAUUAGACUGCACGAGGCAAUGCCAAAUGCCCUGAAUUCUUAUAGCACCCAACACAAGAAACUUGAUAGAGGUUUCCAGAACAACAGUC